rnacentral:rRNA from 1 species
UAGGGAAUCUUGGGCAAUGGGGGGAACCCUGACCGAGCAACGCCGCGUGAGUGAAGAAGGUUUUCGGAUCGUAAAGCUCUGUUGUUAAGGAAGAACGAGUGUGAGAAUGGAAAGUUCAUACUGUGACGGUAUCUAACCAGAAAGCCACGGCUAACUACGUGCCAGCAGCCGCGGUAAUACGUAGGUGGCAAGCGUUGUCCGGAUUUAUUGGGCGUAAAGCGAGCGCAGGCGGUCAAUUAAGUCUGAUGUGAAAGCCCCCGGCUCAACCGGGGAGGGUCAUUGGAAACUGGUUGACUUGAGUGCAGAAGAGGAGAGUGGAAUUCCAUGUGUAGCGGUGAAAUGCGUAGAUAUAUGGAGGAACACCAGUGGCGAAGGCGACUCUCUGGUCUGUAACUGACGCUGAGGCUCGAAAGCGUGGGUAGCAAACAGG